GAUCCUAGGAAUUUAAAUGACAGAACUAGGAGUCCUUCCAGACAGUUUUCUCACACCCCCUGCCACUGCAGUCCUAUGCCACCCAAUAUUCAUCUGAGCAGGAAGUGGACUGACUGGUUACAGGAGACCCAUCUUAACCAGGAACUUCCUACGGAGGGCCCAGGAAUAGACAGAAGAGGCUGCAAGAAGAUUGGGUUAUGUUAACAUUGGGGCUUGGUGCCAACACUACAAAUCCUCAGUCCUGACAGCAUUUUUUUUUCUUUCUAUUUUAUUUACAGGACAGAGAGACAUUGAGAGGAAAACAGAGGUGGGGAGUGAGAAGAAUUCACACCUGCAGAUCUGCUUUACUGCUCACGAAACAUCCUCCCUGCAGAUGGGGAGCAGGGGCCUGAACCCAGAUCCUUGCACAUGAUGAUAUAUGUGCUUAACUGAGUGCACCACCUCCCUCCCUCCGCCGCUGCCUAUCUCUAGAAGGACACACAAGAAACUGAACACUGCUAAAUUCCAGCUUAUGGUGAUGCUGGGGAUUGAAUUUGGAGCUGAGAGCCUCAUGCAUGAAAGCCAUUUACAUAACCAUUAUGCUGUCUCUCCAGUCCCUGUGUCCUUGAAUUUACCACAGCCAGAUUAUGGACAUCAAGGACAGUUUAUCCAUCGUCCCCUCCAAGGUGAAUUCCGGGCUGGGACAGCCCCUCAGAAGUGGUCAACAGUGUCUCUGAAACAAGUGGAAAAGCAGGGGAGAACCUGUUCUUCCAAGGACUCCUCAAAGCCCUGACGUUGUUAUCCAGGCACACAUGUCCCUGACCAUCAUAUUCACAGGCCCACAAGCCCCCGACUUUAUUAAAUCAUUUUUUGUUGCU